rfam:Stegodyphus mimosarum contig16250, whole genome shotgun sequence.
GCCUUCGUGAUGUAGUGGUCAGCACGCUCGACGCGUAACCGAGAGGUCCGUGGUUCGAUUCCCGGCGAAGGCG